UACGUAGGGCGCAAGCGUUGUCCGGAAUUAUUGGGCGUAAAGAGCUCGUAGGCGGCCUGUCGCGUCUGCUGUGAAAUCCCGGGGCUUAACCCCGGGCGUGCAGUGGAUACGGGCUGGCUGGAGGCAGGCAGGGGAGAACGGAAUUCCCGGUGUAGCGGUGAAUGCGCAGAUAUCGGGAGGACACCGGUGGCGAAGGCGGUCUCUUGGGGCGA
rnacentral:rRNA from 1 species